rnacentral:ncRNA from 1 species
UUGGGUUAAGGUGAUUAACUUUUCGCUCAUGAGACCCCAUAAAAGGAAUUGGUUGACAUAGACAGCAGGGCGGUGGUGGCCGUGGAAGUCGGUACCCGCUAAGGAGUGUGUAGCAACUCACCUGCCGAAUCAACUAGCCCUGAAAAUGGAUGGCGCUUGAGCGAGAGACCUAUACCCAA